rnacentral:rRNA from 1 species
CCUACGGGAGGCAGCAGUGGGGAAUUUUGGACAAUGGGCGCAAGCCUGAUCCAGCAAUGCCGCGUGAGUGAAGAAGGCCUUCGGGUUGUAAAGCUCUUUUGUCAGGGAAGAAACGGUCUACUCUAAUACAGUGGGCUAAUGACGGUACCUGAAGAAUAAGCACCGGCUAACUACGUGCCAGCAGCCGCGGUAAUACGUAGGGUGCAAGCGUUAAUCGGAAUUACUGGGCGUAAAGCGUGCGCAGGCGGUUAUAUAAGUCAGAUGUGAAAUCCCCGGGCUCAACCUGGGAACUGCAUUUGAGACUGUAUGGCUAGAGUGUGUCAGAGGGGGGUAGAAUUCCACGUGUAGCAGUGAAAUGCGUAGAUAUGUGGGGGAAUACCGAUGGCGAAGGCAGCCCCCUGGGAUAACACUGACGCUCAUGCACGAAAGCGUGGGGAGCAAACAGGAUUAGAUACCCUGGUAGUCCACGCCCUAAACGAUGUCUACUAGUUGUCGGGACUUAAUUGUCUUGGUAACGCAGCUAACGCGUGAAGUAGACCGCCUGGGGAGUAACGGUCGCGAAGAUUAAAACGUUAAGAAAGUAGUUAGGCGNGNGACGUUGCGACGACGGCAC